rnacentral:rRNA from 1 species
GACGAACGCUGGCGGCGUGCUUAACACAUGCAAGUCGAACGGAAAGGCCCUGCUUUUGUGGGGUGCUCGAGUGGCGAACGGGUGAGUAACACGUGAGUAACCUGCCCUUGACUUUGGGAUAACUUCAGGAAACUGGGGCUAAUACCGGAUAGGAGCUCCUGCUGCAUGGUGGGGGUUGGAAAGUUUCGGCGGUUGGGGAUGGACUCGCGGCUUAUCAGCUUGUUGGUGGGGUAGUGGCUUACCAAGGCUUUGACGGGUAGCCGGCCUGAGAGGGUGACCGGGCCAAAUGGGACCUGGGUACCGGCCAAGACCCUUCGGGAGGGAGGAGGGGGGAAUAUUGCACAAUGGGCGGAAGCCUGAUGCAGCAACGCCGCGUGCGGGAUGACGGCCUUCGGGUUGUAAACCGCUUUCGCCUGUGACGAAGCGUGAGUGACGGUAAUGGGUAAAGAAGCACCGGCUAACUACGUG